GACGAACGCUGGCGGCGUGCUUAACACAUGCAAGUCGAGCGGUAAGGCCCUUUCGGGGGUACGACGAGCGGCGAACGGGUGAGUAACACGUGGGUGACCUGCCCUUAGCUCUGGGAUAAGCCUGGGAAACUGGGUCUAAUACCGGAUAUGACUCCAUGACGCAUGUUGUGGGGUGGAAAGCCUUGUGCGGCUAGGGAUGGGCCCGCGGCCUAUCAGCUUGUUGGUGGGGUGAUGGCCUACCAAGGCGACGAUGGGUAGCUGGUCUGAGAGGAUGGUCAGCCAGACAGGGACUGAGACACGG
rnacentral:rRNA from 1 species